CGAGGCACCCCUUUACUCUACAUAGAUACAUAGAGAAGCCGCAACGCCACCCAUACAGUUCACUUAACAGCCCUGUCGGAGCGUACAAUAGACUGGCAAUUCGUGCAGGCCGAAGAGCUGCAGCAGAACUCAGUAAGGCACCGUCAAACUGUGUUUCCUCCGCUUCCCUCUCGUCUUCUCAUUGGUUGCUCUCCUCUUGCAUUCUUGCGACAUCGGCAGCGCAUAUGCAGACGGCGCCACCGACGCAGCAGCGGCGCACCUUUUCGCGCGCAAACGGCGCCGAUGGAACAGCCGUUCCACGCUUGGUGGCGGCUGAGGAACGCCACCGCAAGAACCUGCAUCAAAUCCAGCAAUUGAAGCAGGCGCUGUGCUCUACCGUCAGUGCGGCUGCUGCGCCAUGCAUGUCUGCGCUGUCGUCGCGAGGUUGGUCACUACCCUCGUCUACUCUCUCAGUGCCACCGCCUUCCAACCCUUCCUGGAUGGCGCCCUUCCUCGAGAGCCCCAGCGGGGUUGUGGCCUCGCUGUCUCAGACAAACGGGGCAACGGUGCCGGUGUCACGCCAGUCGACGUGGACCCCCGUAUCAGCGGCCGCAUUGCGCGAGAGCCAUCAGGAGGUGGAACGACUCGUGCAGGAGCGCAACAAGCUGCAGCAACAGUGUGUAGAGUGGGCUAGUCUUCUUGGCGAGGCGUCCCAUCGCGCUGCAGAGAGCGCUGGCACGAACGCGCCACUUGUGUCUCACUCUGGUGUCGAAGCUGAUGCCUGGUCCCCGGUGCACCAGGCGGCGCUCGCAGUUGUGAGGCAGGCAACGCGCUGUUACCCUAGCGCAUUACGCGAAGCGCGGAUCAAGUCGGAUGUAGGAGCGACAGAGGACACCAGCACACCACAGUGUGCCGGAUCCUCAGCGUUGAUUGCGCCACAUGAGGGUGAGCUGAGCGAGCCGUUCCUGCACGGCAAUAGCAGUCCACCGCUCACAACAGAGGAGCUGGCGAACGCGCUCCAUCGCCUGGCUGAGUUUCUGCCCAGCCUAGCUUCCACGAUGACUGCCAGCGAACUUGUUGCUGCCUCAGAGCCAGACCUGUUGCACCGCAUCCGCACUCUCGAGGAGGAGAGGCGAAGCGACUGCCUCGUUGUGUUAUCCAUCACAGACCAUCUCACUCAAGUCGCCACACAGCUGCGACGAGAGGCUGCGGAGAAAGACGAGGCGCUACAUGCAUUGCAGGAGACGGUGGAGGCGCUGAUGGAGGAGAAGUCGCAGUGGGCACGGCGCGCUCGGGAGAGUGAGGAGGCGCUAGCGGAGAGGUAUGAGCAGUACAGCCAAAGAGAGAAGGCCUGGGAGAGAGAAGUGGCAGGGCUGCUGCAAUCAAAACAUAAUGCGGAAGCUGCCUCUGCAGCACCAAUGGCUCUCCCCGCCUCAAUCACAGUAGCCCUGGCAGACGGCAGCGGUGCUGCCUCGGCGACAGCGACGGCGACGGAGAUGGGGGAGGGGCACAUCACACAGCUACAGCAGGAGCUUGACGCCAAGGAGGCUACCCUUGCGACUUGGGAGGAGGAGCAUCGUGCCCUACAGGCUACGCACGCAGAGCUGCAAACUCACAGCCAACAAGCGGAGGCGGCCCACCAAAAGCGCAUUGCAGAGCUGGAAAGUCAGUUGAACCCGCUGGAAGAGGAGCUGCAGACCCAGGCUUGCAUUAUCGGAUCGACGCUGCGCAAGGUUGAGGACUUGUCGGUGGCACAUCAGGCCGAGACAGCCGCCUUGACAGAGUCUCAUAACGCGUUUCUAGCAGGGAAGGAGGUGACACUUCUCAGCUUGCAAGAGGCCAAGGAGAGGAUUGAGGUGGAGCUGGCAGAGCGCACCGCGGACGCGGCGCAGAUGAGGGCGGAGCUAGAGGCCGCUCUUGGUAAGCUUGCAGCAGCCCAAAGUGCUUCAGACCGACCGGGUUCAUCUUCGUUGGUGCAUGACGGCGUCUCAGUGGGGAACUUGUCUGUGGUGGAGUCGACGGACCUACUACGGCCCACAGGGCCCAGUGAAGGCGACGGCGCCGACGCGUCACUUCAGAUGGAUGGGGCUAGCACCCCCGGCAAAUGCGAGAGGGCGAAGAAUGACGAUGCAGAAGAUGCUGCAGAGUCGCCGACGAAGCUCGUGGACGUGCGAAAAUUGCAGCAGUCGCUGAACCGGAUGAGUCGAGAGCGCACGGCCCUCAAGCGCAAGCUGGAGCAUCGUGCUGGUGCCCUUUCAGAGAUGGAGAGCGAGUUGGAGGCGGCGCUGCGGCUGGCGGCGCAGCGAGGCGCACAAGUGCAGGCACUCACCGCUGAGCUGGAGAGAUCAAAAGCCACUGACACCUCGGCACCAGCAGACGCGAAAGCAGCAGAUGAGGACGACACCGGUGAGGAGGAGGCCGACGCGGAGACGUCGCUCCAGUUGAUGGACUUUUCGGAGCUGGAGCGAUACGAAGAUGAAGGGACACUAUACCCCGAUCUGGUAGACUUGUCCGGGUGGCUGCUGGGACACGCUGAAGGCUCCUCGGUGCGGUUCUCCACCUACGUGCAGCACCACCUCAGCGAAAACGAGCAGCUGCGCAUCGCAGCAGUCGGCCCUCUGUACCACAUCGGCUUUACCCUCCUUAAGGUGGAGGGGCUCGUGAAGCAGGAGGAUGACUCGUUGUGUCUCCCCAUGCCGUGGCGCCGGUUCCUGCUCCAACUGCAACAAGUGUUGGACGCACAGCUGCAGGCCACAGUGCUGAGCCCCGCCGAUUCGGCGAAGUGCUUCUAUGCACUGGCGAGUAGUGCGGGCUUGCUCGGCAACCUUGCUAGUCCUCCUCGAGACCCGCUGACUGGGUACUCGCUAAUUAUCGCUGCUUUGUGCGUGUGUCUGCGUUCUCCAUCACCGUCUACUUCGACCGAUAGCUCCUGCAAGUGGCACUGCUGUCAAGCAAUACUGCACCACGUAUCUCGCUACGGGGACGGCAAGACGGCGAGUCAAACGGGACGCAGCAUUGCUGAUGCCGACUCGCAGGCGCCGGACAGUCUGUUUCUCGCCUUGUGCGCUGAGUUCCCAGCAGCGACCGCAUUACCCGAGGAGGAUGCAGGAGACGAGGGUGCGACUGCAGGCGGCGGGACAGCGUCCGUGCCCCUGCCGUGCUCGAUUCGCCUCGCCGCACUCCUCACGAGCGACCUUCUGAGUGACUACCUCCCCAUAUCGCACUUGGCGUUGUGCGCUGCGGCCCUCUCUGACAUUGUCGACAGCAAAGUCGCACCUAUCGAGGGCCAGCUUCCCGCAAGCUCACAGACGGAAGCCACGAAGAUCUUUGCGGCGGCGCGGCCGCGUUUGAGCUUCGCACAGAAGCGUGACGUCGCCCCGCUUCUGCUGUACGUGGCUCGCCACGAAUACCUUUUGUUUGACUGGGCUCACGAGAUGGCCGACGCGGCUGCCGAAGCUGAAGGUGGCUCACCCAGCGAAGAUGGACAUAGUACGGAUACUGCCUCCCUUACGUUAUCCUCACUUGGUGUCUCCGUGACAUGGCCGGCGUCGGCAACUGUGCAGAAGGUACCAUCUCGCUCAGCUGCAGUCUCUGCCCGUGCGACACCACCUGCCGAGGUGGAAUCGAUCACGCAACUGCUCAUCUUCCUGUGCACUGGGCUCUUGCCGACUCUCGUGCUUGCCAUUUACCGCUGCCCUUCACUGGAACAGGAGUCGCAGCUUAUCGAUGCCUUCUUUCGCACGCGCCGUUUGCUCAUGGCGAAACGGACCGCACUUCUCGCGAAGAACUCUACAGAGGCAUGUGCCGCCUCGGGGGUGAUACCGGGAGUUACGCUGCUGCUACCCGAGACCCGACUGCGCAAUCUUGUAAACGCUGCACUGGCACCCAUCAAGCACACCGCGCCCUUUCCAGAGCGAGCGGUGCAGGUGCCGGUGGCGGAGUACGAGCGACUGCACCACGAGCUUCUGUCCCUGUACGAAACAAACGACACGUAUCACCGAUACAUUCAAGAACUGCUGAGCGCGGCGGAGGCGGCAUAGGUGUUGCUGUGAGAGUGUGUGUGCGUGCAAGUUGGAGUGAGUUGCGUGCUCGCUUGCAUUGUGAGCAGCAGCUGCUGCUGCUGCUGGUAGAGGCGUAGGGGGAGGGGCUCAUCCAACGGAGCCCAGCGCACGCACUCUACUGUUGCUCAGCCUUGCUGUGUGACGUUUCGACCCCGCCGCUCUAACGUGAGCCGCAAAAGUCACCCGGACAGCAGUCCUUUGCUGUCAGCUGUGACACCCCGGUGGAAGAGGUUGGAGCAUUCACGAACUGGUAUGGAGGUGCUGUUGCCGUUGAACCUGCCGUCUCUAACCCCCUCGGCCAUCCUCUCAUCGUUAUCAACGCAGCUUGUCGUCGACUUUGUUGCUCACCAGGACAGUUCCUGCGGGUGCGAAUCCGGCGGCUAUGUCUGUGCGGUGCAGCGCAGAGUAUUGACCUUUAUUUUGUAAUUGCUCUCUGUCCAUUUUCUGUACUCAGGUAUGACUCAUUAGAGCUUAUGUGUGCAUGCUGUGUGUUGGGAAUACUAUCUGCAGCCCCCCCCCCUUCCUACCUCCCUCUCUCCCUCUGUCUCUUCUCUCUCGCGCUGCAUAUGCUCGUUGCUUUUACACUUCUUAG
rnacentral:misc_RNA from 1 species